AACCCAUGGCGAAGGCACCUUCUCAACAGAUCCUUGUAUCUCUCCUAUGCAUCAUAGAGUGUUUCUAAAUCCAUCUGCACAAAAGAAGAAACGUCAUUCCUCAACUU
rfam:Gossypium arboreum cultivar AKA8401 contig_28781_1, whole genome shotgun sequence.